ensembl:lncRNA
AAACUUGUUUGGGCUUAUCUUGUGUUUUAGCUUCAUCAUAAGGAAAUCCGGUUUGAGAGCAUUCUGUGAGGCCACAAGCAUGGCAAGUCAGAGAUGCUGGGGAGUUGCUUCGGAAGUGCUGAUCCAAAAGGACUGCUGAAAAUGCACCCAAAGAGCUCUAAUGUGGUCAUCUCCCUCUAACUGGAACUCCCAUGUGCAGGUGUAUAACCUACAGAGGAAAAAGGAAGUUCUACCCUUCCCCACUUAAAAAGACCCAGAGAAAAAGAGGAGAAGCAGAAGGAACCUUCCCUAUGGCACACGGAAGAGAAUGUUCUGCAAGUUGUCUCAAGGGACCUUCUGUGAUUUUUAAAGAGCUCCAGAUCACUAAUAUGAGGGCAACCCAUUCUCACUUCCAGCCACAAAAGCAGGAAAAGGAAAUGAAGGAACAGACGAGGCUGUGGGCAAGGUUAGUACUCUGUAACCAGUAAGCAUCAUUCCCACAUGCUCCUC